AACCAUCCUCAGAGAUAGGAAAACUAGUUUCAUAUUAUUCUUAAUAUGAAACUAGUUUUCCUAUCUCUGAGGAUGGUU